UACGGAGGGAGCUAGCGUUGUUCGGAAUUACUGGGCGUAAAGCGCACGUAGGCGGCUUUGUAAGUUAGAGGUGAAAGCCCGGGGCUCAACCCCGGAAUUGCCUUUAAGACUGCAUCGCUUGAAUCCGGGAGAGGUGAGUGGAAUUCCGAGUGUAGAGGUGAAAUUCGUAGAUAUUCGGAAGAACACCAGUGGCGAAGGCGGCUCACUGGACCGGUAUUGACGCUGAGGUGCGAAAGCGUGGGGGAGCAAACAGG
rnacentral:rRNA from 1 species